UGGACUUUCAAGUCUGUGCAGCCAGCCGUCGAGGUAGAAGCGGGACAGGUAAAGCCCCCUUCUCCCCGCCCCUCGCAUGUGGAAAGGAGACUGGCUCGCCCCGCCGCCCUCCCCUGCUGCUGAGGGCACCGAGCAGGGAAGCAGCAAACCCUGCAGGUAACUUUCCCCAGAGAAGCUGGAUUCUUUCACUAAAGGAGACAAGGCAGAGGGGACGAGCUGGGAGCUGAUUGGGCAGAGCGGGCCCUCAGGUGAGCAGCCAUUGGAAGAGGCGCGCUCAGGGGUGGGAAAAAGCUUUAUACGUGAGCCGAUGGUGUCCAAGUGCAAGCAUUCAAAACGAUUAAGGGAGGUGCCCUUGGGAACACUUGUGGUGAAAGUCAAAGCUCCCUUCACUUUCUGAGAGUGAUUGAUCCAGCCUUCCCAUCCUGCAAAGACAAGAAUUCCUGCAAGGGGUGCACAAAUUCACUGGACCCUGGGAGGGUCCUUGCAACCCGCCUGUCAAAUGAAUGCUCUUCCGUUGUCAUUGCGAUCUGAAAGGUAGAAUCGGCCAGGAAUGAAAUUGACAAAAAAGUAUUACAGGAAAAGUCUGCAGCCUUCUGUCGCUUUCGCAGAGCACCUUCAUAGAGUGGUAAGAAUCUCCUUAAAACUGCCCCUCCCUAAAAGGUGGGGCGAAUCAUCCCUAUGAAGGGAUAUCAGAAGAGAAGAAGCAUAGUAUUACUGCUAUCCAGCAGCAAAAAGGUGGGAAAGAAAGAGACAAAUCAACUUCCACAACUGCAUUUUCUUUCUUCUUUCCUGGACUAAAAUUUUGGAUGCUUAAAAAUAAAAUAUAUAAAACAGGAAAUUUUCCA